rnacentral:rRNA from 1 species
AUGGCUGAGGAGCCCCCGCCGGCGAGUAGGCCGAAGCCGCCGAUGUCGCGCAUCAUGCGCCUAUCCCUCAGGGCCGUGGACUACGUCGCCGACGCCACCCGCCGCGCCGACGGCACCGUGAACCGCCGCGUGCUCUCCCUCCUAGACCCGCGCGUCCCGGCCUUCUCCUCCCCGUGCCGCGGCGUCGCCUCCCGCGACGUCGUCGUCGACCCGACCCUCCGCGUUCGCGCCCGCCUCUUCCACCCAGCGAGACCCGCCGGCGACGCCAAGGGAGCGCCUCUCCCCGUGAUCGUCUUCUUCCACGGCGGCGGGUUCGCGUUCCUCUCCGCGGCGUCGCUGGCCUACGACGCCGCGUGCCGGCGCAUCGCGAGGUACGCCUCCGCGGCCGUGCUCUCCGUCGACUACCGCCGCGCCCCGGAGCACCGGUUCCCCGCGCCCUACGACGACGGCCUCGCCGCGCUCCGCUUCCUCGACGACCCGAGUAACCACCAGGCGGACGUCCCGCUCCAGACCUCCCGCUGGUUCCUCGCCGCGCUCCGCUUCCUCGACGACCCGAGUAACCACCAGGCGGACGCCCGCACCGACUGGAUGUGGCGCGCGUUCCUCCCGGACGGCGCUGACCGCACUCACGAGGCCGCGUGCUUCACCUCCCCUGGGGCAGCCGCUGGCGUGGACAGCCCGGCCUUCCCGCCGGUGCUGCUCGUCAUCGGCGGCUAUGACCCGCUUCAGGACUGGCAGAGACGGUAUUGCGAGAUGCUGAAGGACAGCGGCAAGGACGUGAGGGUGUUGGAGUACCCGGACGGCAUUCACGCGUUCUUCCUCUUCCCUGGGUUCGAUGACGCGCGCAACCUCAUGACACGCAUCGCCGAGUUCGUCGGCGAGAGCGACGAUGGCGGCAGCGAGUAA